rnacentral:tRNA from 1 species
ACCUGGGUGGCUCAGUCAGUUGAGCACCUGACUUCGGCUCAGGUCAUGAUCUCGCAGUCUGUGAGUUCAAGCCCCACGUCGGGCU